rnacentral:rRNA from 1 species
CCAGACUCCUACGGGAGGCAGCAGUGAGGAAUAUUGGUCAAUGGCCGGAAGGCUGAACCAGCCAAGCCGCGUGAGGGAGGAAGGCGCAGAGCGUCGCAGACCUCUUUUGCCGGGGGACAAAAGGCCGGACUCGUCCGGUCCUGAGGGUACCCGGAGAAAAAGCAUCGGCUAACUACGUGCCAGCAGCCGCGGUAAUACGUAGGGGGCAAGCGUUAUCCGGAUUUACUGGGUGUAAAGGGAGCGUAGACGGUACGCCAAGUCUGAAGUGAAAUGCCGCAGCUUAACUGCGGAACUGCUUUGGAAACUGGCGGGCUGGAGUGCGGGAGGGGUAAGCGGAAUUCCUAGUGUAGCGGUGAAAUGCGUAGAUAUUAGGAGGAACACCGGUGGCGAAGGCGGCUUACUGGACCGUAACUGACGUUGAGGCUCGAAGGCGUGGGGAGCAAACAGGAUUAGAUACCCUCGUAG